GUACAAGGCUAAAUAGGGCCCUGGGAUGAGGCACCUGUGACAGGGAGGGGUGCACCUUGGUUUUGCACCCCUCCCUGUCACAGGUGCCUCAUCCCAGGGCCCUAUUUAGCCUUGUACU